UACGGAGGGGGUUAGCGUUGUUCGGAAUGACUGGGCGUAAAGCGCGCGUAGGCGGAUCAUCAAGUCGGGGGUGAAAUCCCGGGGCUCAACCCCGGAAUGGCCUUCGAGACUGGUGGUCUUGAGUUCGAGAGAGGUGAGUGGAAUUCCGAGUGUAGAGGUGACAUUCGUAGAUAUUCGGAGGAACACCAGUGGCGAAGGCGGCUCACUGGCUCGACACUGACGCUGAGGUGCGAAAGCGUGGGGAGCAAACAGG
rnacentral:rRNA from 1 species